ACACCUUUUUCACUGGUCCUAAUGCGUUUCUUUCAGCACAGAAGAGGAUGCAAUCGGACCUCGUUAAGUGCGGAAAGGCAUAUUCACUUUUCCUGGCUUCAGCUUUUCCGGAGAUGCUAAACGUUUCCGUAGAAGAUGUGGACAGAAUGCUUAAGCAGGUUCAGCGUUGUAUCGCAGCGGACAUUCCACUGGACAAGCACAUCAUGUUGGGCAUGAUCCGUUAC